GACGAACGCUGGCGGCGUGCUUAACACAUGCAAGUCGAACGGAAAGGCCCUGCUUUUGUGGGGUGCUCGGGUGGCGAACGGGUGAGUAACACGUGAGUAAUCUGCCCUUGACUUUGGGAUAACUUCAGGAAACUGGGGCUAAUACCGGAUAGGAGCUCCUGCUGCAUGGUGGGGGUUGGAAAGUUUCGGCGGUUGGGGAUGGACUCGCGGCUUAUCAGCUUGUUGGUGGGGUAGUGGCUUACCAAGGCUUUGACGGGUAGCCGGCCUGAGAGGGUGACCGGCCACAUUGGGACUGAGAUACGGCCCAGACUCCUACGGGAGGCAGCAGUGGGGAAUAUUGCACAAUGGGCGGAAGCCUGAUGCAGCAACGCCGCGUGCGGGAUGACGGCCUUCGGGUUGUAAACCGCUUUCGCCUGUGACGAAGCGUGAGUGACGGUAAUGGGUAAAGAAGCACCGGCUAACUACGUG
rnacentral:rRNA from 1 species